rnacentral:rRNA from 1 species
UACGUAGGGGGCUAGCGUUGUCCGGAAUCAUUGGGCGUAAAGAGCGUGUAGGCGGUCCGGUAAGUCCGCUGUGAAAGUCGGGGGUUCAACCCUCGAAUGCCGGUGGAUACUGUCGGGCUAGAGUGCGGAAGAGGCGAGUGGAAUUCCUGGUGUAGCGGUGAAAUGCGCAGAUAUCAGGAGGAACACCUAUUGCGAAGGCAGCUCGCUGGGACGUAACUGACGCUGAGACGCGAAAGCGUGGGGAGCAAACAGG